AUUGAACGCUGGCGGCAGGCCUAACACAUGCAAGUCGAGCGGAGCGGCGGACGGGUGAGUAAUGCCUAGGAAUCUGCCUGGUAGUGGGGGAUAACGUCCGGAAACGGGAGCUAAUACCGCAUCCUAUCAGAUGAGCCUAGGUCGGAGUAGCUAGUUGGUGGGGUAAAGGCCUACCAAGGCGAAGAUCCUGAACUGGUCUGCGAGGAUGAUCAGUCACACUGGAACUGAGACACGUUCCAGACUCCUACGGGAGGCAGCAGUGGGGAAUAUUGGACAAUGGGCGAAAGCCUGCACCAGCCCUGCCGCGUGUGUGAAGAAGGUCUUCGGAUUGUAAAGCACUUUAAGUUGGGAGGCUUGACCAACAGAAUACGCACCGGCUAACUUCGUGCCAGCCGCCGCGGUAAUUC
rnacentral:rRNA from 1 species